rnacentral:rRNA from 1 species
UACGUAGGGUGAAAGCGUUGUCCGGAAUUAUUGGGCGUAAAGCGCUCGUAGGCGGUUCGUCGCGUCGGCUGUGAAAACCCGGAGCUCAACUCCGGGCCUGCAGUCGAUACGGGCGGACUUGAGUGUUGCAGGGGAGACUGGAAUUCCUGGUGUAGCGGUGAAAUGCGCAGAUAUCAGGAGGAACACCGGUGGCGAAGGCGGGUCUCUGGGCAACUACUGACGCUGAGGAGCGAAAGCGUGGGGAGCGAACAGG